GGCCGGCCUCCUGCCGCCGCGGGCUGAGUGCGGGGCGGGGGCACGCUGCCCUUCUCGGGUUUGGGUCGUGGGUGAGGAGCUUGGGGAGGUCGGGGUACUGCCGCGGGAGCUCCGAUUUUCCGAACUGUGCGGACACGGCCAGCGGGAACCGCUUCCUGGGAGCCGGCCGUGGCCGUGCGGGCGUCCAGCCGCCCGCGGAAACGUUCACGGGCGGACUGCAGUCGGCUGCCGCCUAGUAAACGCCGUGAGGUCUGCGCUCCUUGCCGUCCCGCUGUAAUGCGGUGCUUCCGUCUCCAUCUCGAGGCCACAUCUAGACUGCCGUGUGCCCCUCACUACAAGAAAGACGUUGAGUGUGUCCAGAGAAGGGCAGCGGAGCCGUGAGGGGUCUGGAGCACAAGUCUUAUGGGGAGCAGCUGAGGGAACUGGGGUUGUUCAGUCUGGAGGAGGCUCAGGGCAGACCUUAUCACUCUCUUUACCAGCCUGAAGGGAAAUUGUGGGGAGGUGGCGUCGGCCUCUUCUCCCAGAUUCCAGGCACCGAAGAAAAAUGCUUCAUGGAGAUUAAACAACAGCUGCUGUUUUCAGCCCUUUGUGAUCUGCAGCCCUCAAACUUCUCCACUUCAGCUCCAGACUCCAGUGGUGCAGUUGUCAGCGGGUGUCAAUGCUCUCGCUUCUCAGAGUUGCAUGUCCCCUUGAAGCCACUCACCAAUUCAGAAGUCCACAGCUCUCUGUCUGGAACCACUGGGCUCACUGACAGCAGAAAAGAGAUUUUUCUAAAGAACUGAGCCACAGCUCUGCAGAUUCUCUGUACUGGUAGUCCGCCGUGUUUGGGAAAUACCUCCCAGCUGCGCUGAAACAAGGAGCAAGUUACAGCCUUGGUCAGCGCCCAGAAGCAGGCUGAAGCACCCAGCACACUGCUCGCAGGCACAGGGUCAGCUGUGAAAGGACCUUCAGCAUCCACCCCCGUUCGCUAGAACUUCCAGGCCUUCAUGUAGAGUGAAGCUGUAUUUCAUAGCAGUACAACCAUUUGAGUUGGUAGGGAUCCUUAAAGCUUAUCCAGUCUAACCCCCCUGCAAUGAACAGGGACAACUACAGCUAGAACAGGUUGCUCAGAUCCCCAUCCAGCCUGACCUUGGAAGUCUCCAAAGACAUCCCCUAUAUAUUUCUGGUCAACCUGUGCCAGUGCCUCACCACCCUUAUAGUAAAAACCUUUUUCCUUACAUCCACUCUAAAUCUUCCCUCUUUUAGUUUGAAACCAUUUCCCCUUGUCCCUUCCCUUUGUAUUUCCUGCUCUGUAGAGCCAAGUCCCCAGCACAGACCAGGCAGACAGCAAUCCUCCUCUACUAAAGUCUGGAGGGAUCGUGCUUGAUAUAUCAUAUUAAUUUCAGGAUACUUCAGUGUUUAAACAACGUAGAUCUAGUGGAGACAGAUUAAGAAAUGAACAACAGAAAUCCUUAAAGAUUCAAAGCUGACUUGUGAGCUCAGGUUGGAUGCAUUUGAUGUAUGAGUAACUUGGCUGAACGUGACAACUGGAGUACAAAAUAGCUGCCUACAAAUAUCAGUGUGUUGAACAGGAAGAAAGACGACAAAUGCAUUUACUGCAUUUAAAAAGUAAUGCAGUAAAAGCAGAAGGAGAGGUGUUUUUAUCAAAAAUUGAAGGCUAGAUUAAAUAGUAAGCAGAUCCUGCUGCCCACGUGUUUUUUUCACUGUGCACAACAAUGUACUGAGGGACCAGAGUCAUUUUAGAAAUAGUAAAAGAUGGAUCAUUCCCUCUAAUGUAAUUUGGGGAUUAGAAAGAUUAGAUAACUAAGUAAAUGCCUCCUGUGCCUAGCUAAUGGCUUCCUUCACUACGAGAAAUCCCCUACAGGAGGGGAUUUUUGAAGAUGCUUUGAAAGGCCUCCGCAAAGUUUUUCUCAUCAGACGCCCUCCCAGACAUUGUCCUGUUGGAAAGGGGCCAUGUUUGCUUCUCACUUGCAGAAAAUCCACUUCAAAUUUGGCAGAAACAGGAGGGCCCGAAGGGAAAUCGCAGUCAUUCACAAGGAGCUCCCAACUCCUGGCAGCAUGCCUCCAUUGAAACCGCUCUGCAGAGACCCUUCCCUCUAGACAUAUCAGCUCCUGGGAAUCUGCAAACAUAAUUCUUACGCUUAGAUCUAUUAAAAUCCAAACACAAGACACGUGUGGGUCUGUAAGGAUCCAGGAGGUGGCAAAGGUACUCUACACCAAAGAUCUUCUACACCAAGGACAGUUGUGGAAGUGCUGGAGCAUUCUUAGCUAUGUUUCCAGUGUCCUUAAUGGCGGGAUUGCAGAAGCCAGCUCAUGUUUAUGGGGCCACAUGUUUUUUGUCUUCCCAUCUGUUCUGGUAAAAUAACAAAAUGUAUGACCUGUAAUUAGAGGCUUUGUUUAUUAUCUCUGAUUAAAUUGAUGCCUGUGCAAUAAUGAAGAUAUAAGAAGUUAUAAUAUUCUCCCAGGAGUAAGUGCAAUUAAGCUACAGGCAUCACUGUAAAAACAGAUUAGACGUCUUGACUCAUGGUUUCGUGCAAUAGUAUUUCAGGACUUUUUCCCUGUCAACAACAUUAUAAUAAACAUGUUUAUAUUUCAACCAGCCAAACUCAGUUCUUUUCUCAGCUCUUUUACUGAACUACUUAGGAGAGAAAGUAGUUCAGUUGUCCCACCUAUUUUUGUUGCUGAUUCUGCUUCUUGUUUUACUUCCAGCAUCGCUCCGUGACUUCCAGUUGCAAUUUCUGCAAUUUAGGACUGACAAACCUCUUCUGGGAAGCAGAUGAUUGAGGGGAAACCCAGGCAGGGGUUUUCAAGUCACACUUUUCUGCGAAGGAUGGCACAGGGAUGUGACCGUAUUUUGCCCUGCCAAUCCCUUGGCCAACUCCACAGUGAGAUGGGUCUCACCUGCUUUCCUCCCCAUCUGCAGUAGGUGCAGAGGUCUCUUCACCACAGCUUGCCAAACCAUUGGUAAAUGACCCCUGGAAGCCAGGAACAGAGGCAGUCAUUGGUGUGGAGAAAAG
ensembl:lncRNA